AGGGUUUGAUCAUGGCUCAGGAUGAACGCUGGCGGCGUGCUUAACACAUGCAAGUCGAACGAAGCGCUUGAGAAGAUUUCUUCGGAAUGAAACUUAAGUGACUGAGUGGCGGACGGGUGAGUAACGCGUGGGUAACCUGCCUCAUACAGGGGGAUAACAGUCAGAAAUGACUGCUAAUACCGCAUAAGCGCACAGUACCGCAUGGUACGGUGUGAAAAACUCCGGUGGUAUGGGAUGGACCCGCGUCUGAUUAGCUAGUUGGUGGGGUAACGGCCUACCAAGGCGACGAUCAGUAGCCGGCCUGAGAGGGCGACCGGCCACAUUGGGACUGAGACACGGCCCAA
rnacentral:rRNA from 1 species